GGCUCAGAUUGAACGCUGGCGGCAGGCCUAACACAUGCAAGUCGAGCGGUAACAGAAAGAAAGCUUGCUUUCUUUGCUGACGAGCGGCGGACGGGUGAGUAAUGCCUGGGAAUAUACCCUGAUGUGGGGGAUAACUAUUGGAAACGAUAGCUAAUACCGCAUAAUCUCUUCGGAGCAAAGAGGGGGACCUUCGGGCCUCUCGCGUCAGGAUUAGCCCAGGUGGGAUUAGCUAGUUGGUGGGGUAAUGGCUCACCAAGGCGACGAUCCCUAGCUGGUCUGAGAGGAUGAUCAGCCACACUGGAACUGAGACACGGUCCAGACUCCUACGGGAGGCAGCAGUGGGGAAUAUUGCACAAUGGGGGAAACCCUGAUGCAGCCAUGCCGCGUGUAUGAAGAAGGCCUUCGGGUUGUAAAGUACUUUCAGUGUGAGGAAGGC
rnacentral:rRNA from 1 species